rnacentral:tRNA from 1 species
GUUAGCGUAGCUUAUCAACAUAAAGCAAGGCACUGAAAAUGCCUAGAUGAGCUUACAGCUCCGCAAACA